UGUGAAAUAUCUCCUUUGUUCUGAUAUUUUCCAGGUUUUAAAUACUUCUCUAAAAUGAGUACAUUGCAGAUGAUGUGUACAAUAUUGGACUUGGUGCAAGCUUGCAUCGACAGAGAAGCUUUUUCUUUCAUUUGUUGGCACUUUUUAAUGAUUCCAGUAAUGUGUGAACUUUUGUGGCCAACAGCUGAAAAUUUUUGGGAAGAAAAAUACUUUGUCAGGUCAGAGAGCUGA
rnacentral:lncRNA from 1 species